GGGCGAGUCGCCAAGUGGUCUAAGGCGCCAGGAGUUGCAUUCCGGUAAUCGUGGGUUCGAAUCCCACCUCGCCCU
rnacentral:tRNA from 1 species